UAUUACAUUGCACUGGAAACAUGGGAUGAGCAGUACUGGGUCCAGAAUGUCACAUGAAGACACCCACAUUCCUGGAGCAGUGUGAGGACUUUGUCCUGGCCCUUACAAGCAAAGCAGGCAGAUUCUUUAGAGCUUGAUUCACAUAAGAUAAUAGUCCUACUGUAUAUGUAUAACUCAGAAAUGUGGAAACAAUGAUACAAGGUUAUGAAGAGGACAACAUUUUGGUCCAGAAUGUACAUAAAUACAACCAGAGAGGACUUCAUCCUGGAUUACAGCUAUUCAGAGUUUGGGCAGUGAAAAGUUUUUCCAUGAACAUUAAUUUUAAUUCCUAAUAUCUAUUAAGCUCAGUUGUGUUCAUCUCCCAUUUUAUUCAUCAGGAGAGAAUAUUCAUGUUUACAUAAAUGUUAGGGGAAUGUCUGCUCUUCAUAUUAUAGUCCAUAUUUGCAUGCAAAUGGACAUAUUCACACACGAGCAAAAGCACACCACAGUUUAUUUUCCUUAAAAAAAGUCCAGUCAUCUGAUCAGAUAGCAGAAACAAUACCAUGUGACUUACAUGACGACUCACAUGCCAUGACUAAUAAAUUCUAAUAGGCUGAAAACUACCCAUCUAUACCAUUUAGCGAAUACUUACUUGCAAAGGAAGAGCACAGUGGCAGGAAUAAAGACCAGAUCAUGAAUGUUUUGCAAAUGGAAAAAAACAAAGCAGCCCCAUUAAUAAAUGACAGCAAUAAAACCCAAUAUUUUGUUUUAAUGAACUGUUGUAUUUUUCUUUUCUUGGUCUUCUGCUGUUUCAUCACACACCUUUUUCUGGAGCAGAGGUGUAAAUAAAAGCUGUGUAAAUAAAAAUACACAUUAGGGUUGUCUGAUAAAAUCACAUUCGUGAGCAGAAACCUCAAAUCCUUCAUUAGCAGGGUCAUAAACUACAAAUGCCAUUUGAUUAGGAUAUGAUUAAAGGAAUUUAUUAACAGAUGUGCAUUCAGCGACACUGUUUCAUUGGCAGCUUUAUGAGAUUCUUUCCGGGGAUGACAGGUGUGGCCUUCCAGUUCCUUUGUAUAGAAAAUGCUGAAUAGAGUUUAUGCAGUGUGUAAUGGUUUAAUUCAAGUCCCCAUCAAUUGCUAGAAAAGAAAGAAGCUUUUACAUAUUAAUUGAAGCCAAAUAUUAGAAAUUAGACAGAGCAGAAGAAAGUAUCAUUGAUCAGAGGAGAGAUAGAUAUAAUAGGACACAGUCACAUCAAACACGUAUUUUGUCAGGAUAUGUCAGAAUUUUUGUAAAAUUUGGCAAAUGGAAACCUUUUGAAGUUGUUUGUUUGUCGUUUCCCUUUCAUGGGACAGUCAACUCUAGUCAUUUAGGCCUCAACUGGCAAAAGAAAGAAGAUCCUUUUGGUUUAUUGAUCUGAUACAAAAUUCUGAUUACAAAUUGAAAACACAGAGUGAAUAAACGAAGGAAAAUUGGGAACUUGUGUAGUUAGGUAUUUUUAACUGCUGUGUCUGGCUGUUCUGUAUUUAACAGAGACUGCAAAAUUCUAGACAUCUCUAUUCUGGGCCUCGUUAUCAUUGAUUAAAAUUUGCCAUACAGUCUAGUUUACAGAGCAAUUAAAAUGUUCUUUUCUGCCUCCAGUCUCAUUUUCCAUAUGUUCUGUGUUCUACAUAUAUAUUCUGCACUAAUAAUAUUUUCUGUAACAAGUUUCUGAUAGCUGCAUUGAAACUUCUUCCAUUUAAAAUAUGUGCCAGUUAAGAUGAAGGUAUCCAAGAACUUUUGUUCUGCUGCAAACUGAGAUUCUUCAAAUGCUUGUGAGAAGAAAUGAAAGCUGAUUGGUGUAGAUGCGUAAGUAAGAAGUUAUAUUUAGGAUACACCCAGACUCCAUGUCAAAUUUCUCCUCCACUGCGAGAUUGACCUGAAAGGCCUCAGACAUCUUCUACUAUUCAGUAGUGGGACAAGAGUGGUGACAGAAUGAGACACUGGUGUUGGAAGAAAGGACAAGAAUAUCAAUGUAUUGUACAGUGUAUAGCAGAGAGAUAAAAUCAGGUAAGUAGACAGGACCUAAAUUAUGAAGGUCUUGAAGGUAAGAGCCAGAAAUCUGUGUGUGAUGCAGUGCAGAAGGAGCAGAGAGUGGAGGGAUUCAAAGUAUGCAUGGGGAGGAGGGAGGAGUGACAUGUUAGAUAUGAUGAAGAUGAUUUUGACAGUACCAUUCUGAAUGGACUUGAGAAGGACAAGUUCUCAGUAGUCUAGACCAGAGAGAAAAAGGUUGCAGUAGUCAGGACAGCCCAUAUUAAGGCAUGGUAUGAAGUAGCACUGCCCUGGCCGGGAGCAGUGGAAGGCUAUCUGUAGCACAUGUAUUUGAAGCUUCCAGGUACAAGAAGAUUUAUGCCACACCUCUUUGUGGGGUGCAAUUUAUUGAACUGUGUACAGCUAGGUGUUUCAGCUGGUCAGAGCAUUGAGCGGAAAGCCAUGCCCUUUCUUCUUCCCAAACAGUCCCACCCAUUUGAGGAUUCCUUGGGGAACAGGGAUAGAGCAGUCCAUGCACUUUAGCCGGGAUCAGAGGGAAGACCCUACACUCAGCUGGGCAUAUAAGCAGCUAGCCACAAUCAAUGGAGAGGCAACCAACCCCAACAAGCAAACUGGCCCCGGUUUGAGCUAACCAAUGACUGUCUUCAUCACAUUGACCGGGACCCCCAAACCCAAGAAACCCCGCUGGUGCCCUGGUGUCAUUGCUGUGCUGUUUUGAAACUAAUCAGCAAUGUCCUCGCUGCAGGGCACCUGGGAUGCAAGAAUAGUCUGGCCUGAGUCCUGACACAGUUUUUUCUGGUCCGGGGUGCAUCAGGACAUCAAGAAUUAUUGUAACUCGUGCCUGGAAUGGCUGCUAGCAGCCCCAUGGGAGGUACCAAAGGCUCCUCAGUCCUCUUGCCACUACAAUACAUAUGUCUAAGUUUACAUCAACUGGAAUAAAGUUUUAUGUCCCUGAAAACAGGUUUACCAAGGAAUUGCGAGUACAGAUUCAGCUGCAAGUUAAUACAUAAAUGGCAAC